rnacentral:rRNA from 1 species
UAAACUUAGGGAAUUGAUACCCUAUUAUUUUAGAGCUUGACAUUGUUAGUAAAUAAAUAUUACGAAAGCAAAAAAUUAUGGCGGUAUUUUAAGCUUUUCAGAGGAAUUUGCUCUUUAAUGGAUAAAACACCUAAAUCUUACUUAAAUUUGUCAAUUCAAUUUGUAUACCACUAUUGAAAUAAUUAAUAACUUUAAUUGUUUAAAUUUAUAAAAUUAAAUUAUGUUAAGUCAAGGUGCAGUAAAAAUUUAAGAAUGAAGUGAAUUACAUUUCUUUUUAGAGAAAAAAAAAAUUAAAUUAACAUUUAGGAUUUGAAAGUAAAAUUAAAAUAGUAUGUUAAUUUGAAUUAAGCUCUAAAAUAUGUACAUAUCGCCCGUCACUCUUUAUUAAGAUAAUGGUUUAACAUAGA